CGCGCAGGCGGUCGUACAAGUCGCGUGUGAAAGCCCCCGGCUCAACUGGGGAGGGUCACGCGAUACUGUUCGACUCGAAGGCAGGAGAGGGAAGCGGAAUUCCCGGUGUAGUGGUGAAAUGCGUAGAUAUCGGGAGGAACACCAGUGGCGAAGGCGGCUUCCUGGCCUGUUCUUGACGCUGAGGCGCGAAAGCUAGGGUAGCAAACG
rnacentral:rRNA from 1 species